GCUAGAUGAUCAAUGAAAUUCUCCGAGUUUACCCGUUUUUACAAUUUUGUUUUCGUUAUGUGCGGUGAGAAUGGACAUAAGAGUAUCACUGUAGGUAAAGCAACAAGUUUUGGCUUUUAUACGUUGUCUGCAUGGGAAUCUAGAAGGAUAUGACUCUAAAGAUGAACAGCACAAAGAUUAUCGUCGCUGCCA